AAACUCACGAAGUGUCUGGCGAAUGGGCCAAAUCACAGAGAGACUACUUCUCUCGGUGUCUUUAUUUCUUGUAAUUUAAACUGUUCAACUGUGGAUUUGUAUUUUGGUGAGGUUGUAACCUGAAUCUCGUUUCCGCACUGACGAACGGGCCAAGGCACAACAAAAUCAACGUUGCAGGUCCGUGUCAUUCUUUUAGAGCAUUCCUGCUUUGGAUCUGGGACUGCUUCUGCAAGAUUAGAUCAUUUGCUCCCAUAUUCUGCUCCAGAAUUGCAGAUUUGAUUGGAAAUCUUUGUUUUGUUGAAAUACGGUGCCAAUUUUGCCAGCACGGAGAGACUUAACAAGCUCGCCGCCAAAAUCGUAGCCAGAACUUGAUCCAUUCUAUCCAGUAGUUGCUCAGUUACAGAUAUCUAUUGCUUGCUUCGUUCAGCUUGGCUAAUAAUCUGAUUUGUUUCAAUGAUAUAAAUUGAUGCGUACCGCUUUUGCCAGUUCCAGAAGUGGAGAGUUUUGUUCACGGCACAUGCUCUGUCAACCAAGUUGAAAACGAAGAUGUCAUUAAAUCUGUGCUACCACUUGCUGCAUCCAAUGGUUUCCAACUAGAAACUCCGUUCCCGAAAUGGCACCGCCGUGGUCUCCCCAAUGUCGAGGGCGGUAGGUGGCAUCCUCAAAUCUUAACAAAUGGUAUCCCAAUCACUACUGUUUUCUUCCCUUGCAACCGAAGGGAGCACUGCUGUGUUUUCUUCCCUUGCAACCGAAAGGAGGACAAAGAAGGCUUCUUCAUUGCUCUUGUUUUCUAGGUGGCGACCAAUCAGAGGUGCCUAACGGAACCGGCAUAGGCGCAGUACCUCCUCUCAUUCUGUUUAAAAUGCUAGACACACGGAACAUCGCGUAAUUCCAAACACACUUAUAUUACAAACUCUGUUUGAUUACGUUCAUAAAAUGCUCAGUUAUUUGAGUUA